CUUCUACAGCAUCCACUAUUCCCCAGAAGGAGGAAAACAAAAGUCUGAAGUGCGAAACCUAAGAAAAGGGUAUGGAUCCUCUCAAAGAGAAGCAACAGUGUUGAUGCUCAGUUCAGCUCUCUCCGUAAUACUGUUGGUACUAUUGAUUUCUUCAUUCUCCCAGAUCUUACUGGACUAAAGAAGGCUGAAGUAUCAUCUCAAACAAAGGAGAAACCCAUUGCCUUCCCCCAUGUCAGCAGAGACCACAAAAGAAGCCUAAUCCUGAGUUUGCACAGGAGUCCAGGAACAAUACAAAUUCAUAACUAUAUUUAAUGAAAAAGAAUGAAAUCAAUCCCCAAGGAACUGUGUCACAGAACAGACCACCCCUCCAAUCCAGCUUUAUUUGUAAUAGCCAGAAGCUGACAACCAAGUUGACGAUCAACUGAGGAAUGGAUACAAAAAGGAUGGUAUAUCUACACAAUGGAAUACUACUCAGCA